rnacentral:rRNA from 1 species
GCGUGAAGUGAUUUGUCUGGUUAAUUCCGUUAACGAACGAGAUCUCAGCUUACUAAAUAGUUGCAUGAAUUGUCUACCAGGUGAAGCAGGAAGGUGACUGGAUUCAUUCAGUCGCCAACUUGUGAAUCCUUGAUGAAUUGAUGUCAGCUUCUUAGAGGACAAUUUGCGUUGAGCAGGUGGAAGUUUGAGGCAAUAACA